rnacentral:piRNA from 1 species
AAAAUUGAUCGAGAGGGGAAGCCACGGA